UACGAAGGGGGCUAGCGUUGCUCGGAAUUACUGGGCGUAAAGCGCACGUAGGCGGAUCGCUAAGUCAGGGGUGAAAUCCUGGAGCUCAACUCCAGAACUGCCUUUGAUACUGGCAAUCUCGAGUCCGGGGAGAGGUGAGUGGAACUGCGAGUGUAGAGGUGAAAUUCGUAGAUAUUCGCAAGAACACCAGUGGCGAAGGCGGCUGACUGGUCCGGUUCUGACGCUGAGGCGCGAAAAGCGUGGGGAGCAAACAGG
rnacentral:rRNA from 1 species